rnacentral:rRNA from 1 species
UACGUAGGGGGCGAGCGUUGUCCGGAUUUAUUGGGCGUAAAGAGCGUGUAGGCGGCCAGGUAGGUCUGCUGUGAAAACUCGAGGCUCAACCUCGAGACGUCGGCGGAAACCAUCUGGCUAGAGUCCGGAAGAGGAGAGUGGAAUUCCUGGUGUAGCGGUGAAAUGCGUAGAUAUCGAGAGGAACACCUGCGGCGAAGGCGGGUAGCUGGGCCGACACUGACGCUGAUGCGCGAAAGCCAGGGGAGCGAACGGG